ACUUCCUCCUUGUGCCCCGAAGGCCAGCCCAGCACUCAGAAGCUUUGGAGUCUCCCAAAAUGCCUGCUGGGUCUCUGCAGGACUGGUACCUGUCACCGGAACCUGUCUGGGAGGGACGAGAACAUGCUUUGCAAGAGGAAGCUCUGCCUCCCAGAGCCCUGGGCUCACUCGGGGACCCUGGCCAGCAGCUGCUUCCUCUCCCCACAGCGGAGAGAGACCCAAGGGUCCCAGGGCAGAUGCUUCCCACCCGUCAAGGCCAGCGUGCAGGGUGGCCUCAUAAGUCCUGAUUGACAUAUGAACAGUGGUUCAGAGAGGUUACGCUACUUGCUCAAGGUCACCCAGCUCCCAGGCCCCUGCUGUCUUCCAGGCCACUGAGGUCCUAAGCGUCCUUCCAGGCGAGCCACUGCUCACAGCCUGUUCCUCACGUUCUGCGGCAGGCAGGUCUGCUCACGCUGUCCUGGCUGCUCUGAAUCCCUGGGCCCAGAUCGGCCCCUGCCAUGGCCCAGCUCAGCAACCCCUCCCUGCAGACCUUCCCAUGACUCUGCAGGCACUGCUCCCCUCUCUGCCCACACCCCAGCUUCGUGGGCCUCUCCCGCCACCCUUAUCUCAUUCCUGAUUUUUCUGCCAGAGUUAAGGAGCCCUGUGUGCUUAUCUAAUUCUGUGCUGGUCUCAGACUCCUUGAGGGCAAGGUCCACGACUUACUUAUCCUCCCUGGCUGCUUCCCCCACCCGCCAGCAUAGUAGGUGUUCGGGAUACAUGGGCUAGAUGGUGGGGCCCUGGACUCUAACCCCCUUGGGGCUGUCAGGCCUCAGACCCAGAGCACUGGCUUAGGGUGAAAGGGGUGCAGACAGCAGCCACCCUGCCCUGGGGGUCCUCCUGCAUCUGCCUCUGCAGAGCACUGUGAUCCCACAAAAGCCUGCGAGGGCUAUUGGAGACCUGUUCCAACGCAUGAGCAAGGCAGAUCCAGCACCCUCCCCCGGCUCCUUGAUCCCCCUGACCUGUGUUCUUUACCCAGCAGGCCCUGAGCCCAUGCACAUUUCCCUGGCCUGGGUCUCACCUCCAACCCCUCUCAGAACUCCUCAAGACCUGCCCAAGGGUCACUCCCUCCCAGACACCUGCCUGGCCCCCCGCCCCACCCUCCAUUACCCCACUCACUGGCUCCCUGGAUGCUCUAUGGCUGGGAUGUUAGCGCCCCCAUCAUGCCCCAUCACCCACACCGGGCUAUUUCCCCCACCAGCCUAAGAGCCCCCAGGAGUGGCGGCCACUGACUUUUUUCCUGUAGCCUCAGAGACUCAAAGGAGGCACUUAAUAAAUGCACACAGAAGGACUG